AUGACCCUGCGGUGCCUUGAGCCCUCCGGGAAUGGUGUGGAAGGGAUGCGGAGCCAGUGGGGGAUGGCGGGGUCCUCGAAGGAGUCGUCCCCAGAGGCAGCGCAUCUGACGAAGGCCUUGCAGAAGCUCAGUCAAACAGGUUGGUACAGGGGAAGUAUCACUGUUAAUGAAGCCAAAGACAAAUUAAAAGAGGCACCAAAAGGAACUUUCUUGAUUAGAGAUAGUUUGCAUUCAGACUACCUACCAACAAUAUCUGUUAAAACAUCAGCUGGACCAACUAAUCUCCGAAUCAAAUAUCAAGACGGGAAAUUCAGAUUGGACUCUAUUAUAUGUGUCAAGUCCAAGCUUAAACAGUUUGACAGUGUGGUUCAUCUGAUAGACUACUAUGUUCAGAUGUGCAACGAUAAGCGGUCGGGCCCAGAAGCCCCCUGGAACGGCACGGUUCACCUUUAUCUGACCAAACCACUCUACACAUCAGCACCACCUCUGCAGCAUCUCUGCAGACUCACCAUUAACAAACGCACUGGUGCCAUCUGGGGACUGCCUUUGCCAACAAGACUAAAAGAUUACUUGGUCCAUCCAUACUCAUUAAAGCAUCCUAAAUUUAUUACUUCAUCAUCUGUUGAGCACCUACUAUGCCAGGUUCCAGAAAUUCAAAGGAUUCCGGGGGGCGGAGAGGGCCCUGGGGCGGGCGCGGGUCUGGGCCUCAGCUGGGCGGGAGGCGGCGCGACUCCGGGCGCGGGCGAGUCUGCGGAGCUCACGCCGCGCUUGCCCUUAGCCGCCUAG